GCAGCUGCUGCAACAGCAACAGCCGCAACAGCAGCGGAAAAGGAGAAAAAGCAGAAGGAGCAGAAGGAGCAGGAAGAGCAAGAGAACGAAGAGGACCAGGAGAACCAGGAACACCAGGAGGAGGAGGAGGAGAAAUAAUGAGUGACUGUGUCUACGUAUAUUGGAAGAGUUUGCUGGGGUAUUAAUGUUGCUUCAUUGGAGAAAUGUGUACUCAAAGAAUUACUGAUGUAGAGUCUCACUGUGCUGCCAUCUGAAACUUCAAGCUCAUUACUGAAACCAUGCUUCCUCUCAGCAUCACGAGAAGAUCACAACAGAUGCAGAUCACCACACUUAGCUAGUGUUAAACCCCCUAUCCUCUCACCAUCCCCAUGAUACUAUAAGGGUGUUCCUCCACCCAACAUCUCCAGCCCCAGCACUCUAGCAUUCCCCUAAGCUGGAUCAUCAAACUACCACCGGACAAAGUGGAUCCCUUCCCAUUGAUACCAGACAAUAGGUUCUACAGUUCCCAGUGAUUUGGGAGAAGGGUAGUGAAUGGUUCUUCAAAUAUUUAAUAGGGAGUUAAGGACAUGUGGAAUUCCUAAGCUCAAUUUAACCUGUUUAUUUAAAAUCUCAUGCUUGGAAAUCAUGCUGGUGAGACUUAGUAAGUCUAUUUUAUGGCUCUCCUAGAUGACAUAAUCUUUCCAUAGAUGACAUAAUCUUUCAGCAAACUGUCCAUUUCCUGGGUUUUGCUAUCUGUUUUACCCGUCUUUUAAAAUGACUCCUGACAUAAAGUUGCAGGAUAUAUUUUAUAUAACUAUGUUUUUAUGGCUGCAUAUUGUAUGUUGAUUAUCUGUGUUUUUUCUGAAUUUUUUUCUGAUGAUCUUGUUAGAAAAUCUCAUUUAAA
rnacentral:sRNA from 1 species